GAUGAAGAACGUAGCGAAAUGCGAUAAGUAAUGUGAAUUGCAGAAUUCAGUGAAUCAUCGAAUCUUUGAACGCACAUUGCGCCCUCUGGUAUUCCGGGGGGCAUGCCUGUUCGAGCGUCAUUAUAACCACUCAAGCUCUCGCUUGGUAUUGGGGUUCGCGGUUCCGCGGCCCCUAAAGUCAGUGGCGGUGCCUGUCGGCUCUACGCGUAGUAAUACUCCUCGCGAUUGAGUCCGGUAGGUCUACUUGCCAGCAACCCCCAAUUUUUACAGGUUGACCUCGGAUCAGGUAGGGAUACCCGCUGAACUUAAGCAUAUCAAUAAGCGGAGGA
rnacentral:misc_RNA from 1 species